rnacentral:rRNA from 1 species
AUUAUACGGCGAAACUGCGAAUGGCUCAUUAAAUCAGUUAUCGUUUAUUUGAUAGUACCUUACUACUUGGAUAACCGUGGUAAUUCUAGAGCUAAUACAUGCUAAAAAUCCCGACUCACGAAGGGAUGUAUUUAUUAGAUUAAAAACCAAUGCCCCUCGGGGCUUGUGGGUGAUUCAUAAUAACUUCUCGAAUCGCAUGGCCUUGCGCCGGCGAUGGUUCAUUCAAAUUUCUGCCCUAUCAACUUUCGAUGGCAGGGUCUUGGCCUGCCAUGGUUUCAACGGGUAACGGAGGGUUAGGGCUCGACCCCGGAGAAGGAGCCUGAGAAACGGCUACUACAUCCAAGGAAGGCAGCAGGCGCGCAAAUUACCCAAUCCCGACACGGGGAGGUAGUGACAAUAAAUACUGAUACAGGGCUCUUUUGGGUCUUGUAAUUGGAAUGAGUACAAUUUAAAUCCCUUAACGAGGAACAAUUGGAGGGCAAGUCUGGUGCCAGCAGCCGCGGUAAUUCCGCUCCAAUAGCGUAUAUUAAAGUUGUUGCAGUUAAAAAGCUCGUAGUUGAACCUUGGGCCUGGCUGGCCGGUCCGCCUCACCGCGUGCACUGGUUCGGCCGGGCCUUUCCCUCUGGGGAGCCCUAUGCCCUUCACUGGGUGUAGUGGGGAACCAGGACUUUUACUGUGAAAAAAUUAGAGUGUUCAAAGCAGGCCUAUGCUCGAAUACAUCAGCAUGGAAUAAUAGAAUAGGACGUGUGGUUCUAUUUUGUUGGUUUCUAGGACCGCCGUAAUGAUUAAUAGGGACAGUCGGGGGCAUCAGUAUUCAAUUGUCAGAGGUGAAAUUCUUGGAUUUAUUGAAGACUAACUACUGCGAAAGCAUUUGCCAAGGAUGUUUUCAUUAAUCAGGAACGAAAGUUAGGGGAUCGAAGACGAUCAGAUACCGUCGUAGUCUUAACCAUAAACUAUGCCGACUAGGGAUCGGACGAUGUUAUUUUUUGACUCGUUCGGCACCUUACGAGAAAUCAAAGUCUUUGGG